rnacentral:rRNA from 1 species
UGUUUCGGCAAGGGGGUCAUCCCGACUUACCAACCCGAUGCAAACUGCGAAUACCGGAGAAUGUUAUCACGGGAGACACACGGCGGGUGCUAACGUCCGUCGUGAAGAGGGAAACAACCCAGACCGCCAGCUAAGGUCCCAAAGUCAUGGUUAAGUGGGAAACGAUGUGGGAAGGCCCAGACAGCCAGGAUGUUGGCUUAGAAGCAGCCAUCAUUUAAAGAAAGCGUAAUAGCUCACUGGUCGAGUCGGCCUGCGCGGAAGAUGUAACGGGGCUAAACCAUGCACCGAAGCUGCGGCAGCGACACUAUGUGUUGUUGGGUAGGGGAGCGUUCUGUAAGCCUGUGAAGGUGUGCUGUGAGGCAUGCUGGAGGUAUCAGAAGUGCGAAUGCUGACAUAAGUAACGAUAAAGCGGGUGAAAAGCCCGCUCGCCGGAAGACCAAGGGUUCCUGUCCAACGUUAAUCGGGGCAGGGUGAGUCGACCCCUAAGGCGAGGCCGAAAGGCGUAGUCGAUGGGAAACAGGUUAAUAUUCCUGUACUUGGUGUUACUGCGAAGGGGGGACGGAGAAGGCUAUGUUGGCCGGGCGACGGUUGUCCCGGUUUAAGCGUGUAGGCUGGUUUUCCAGGCAAAUCCGGAAAAUCAAGGCUGAGGCG